rnacentral:rRNA from 1 species
UUGUUGGUAAGGUAAAAGCUUACCAAGGCUUCGAUCAGUAGCUGGUCUGAGAGGACGGCCAGCCACACUGGGACUGAGACACGGCCCAGACUCCUACGGGAGGCAGCAGUGGGGAAUUUUGGACAAUGGGGGCAACCCUGAUCCAGCCAUGCCGCGUGAGUGAAGAAGGCCUUCGGGUUGUAAAGCUCUUUCAGCCGGAACGAAACGGUUACGGUUAAUACCCGUGACUACUGACGGUACCGGAAGAAGAAGCACCGGCUAACUACGUGCCAGCAGCCGCGGUAAUACGUAGGGUGCGAGCGUUAAUCGGAAUUACUGGGCGUAAAGCGUGCGCAGGUGGUUUUGUAAGUCAGAUGUGAAAGCCCCGGGCUCAACCUGGGAACUGCGUUUGAAACUACAAGACUAGAGUGUGGCAGAGGGGGGGUGGAAUUCCGCGUGUAGCAGUGAAAUGCGUAGAGAUGUGGAGGAACACCGAUGGCGAAGGCAGCCCCCUGGGUCAACACUGACGCUCAGGCACGAAAGCAUGGGGAGCAAACAGGAUUAGAUACCCUGGUAGUCCAUGCCCUAAACGAUGUCAACUAGUUGUCGGGCCUUUACGGGCUUGGUAACGUAGCUAACGCGUGAAGUUGACCGCCUGGGGAGUACGAUCGCAAGAUUAAAACUCAAAUGAAUUGACAGGGACCCGCACAAGCGGUGGAUUAUGUGGAUUAAUUCGAUGCAACGCGAAAAACCUUACCUACCCUUGACAUGUAUCGAAGCCCGCAGAAAAGCGGGGGUGCCCGAAAGGGAACGAUAACACAGGUGCUGCAUGGCUGUCGUCAGCUCGUGUCGUGAGAUGUUGGGUUAAGUCCCGCAACGAGCGCAACCUUUGUCAUUAAUUGCCAUCAUUUAGUUGGGCACUUUAAUGAGACUGCCGG